AGAUAAUAGAUACCCGGGUAGUCCAUGCCGUAAACGUUGGGCACUAGGUGUGGGGGACAUUCCACGUUUUCCGCGCCGUAGCUAAACGCAUUAAGUGCCCCGCCUGGGGAGUACGGCCGCAAGGCUAAAACUCAAAGGAAUUGACGGGGGCCCGCACAAGCGGCGGAGCAUGCGGAUUAAUUCGAUGCAACGCGAAGAACCUUACCAAGGCUUGACAUGAACCGGAAAGAUCUGGAAACAGGUCCCCACUUGUGGUCGGUUUACAGGUGGUGCAUGGUUGUCGUCAGCUCGUGUCGUGAGAUGUUGGGUUAAGUCCCGCAACGAGCGCAACCCUCGUUCUAUGUUGCCAGCACGUGAUGGUGGGGACUCAUAGGAGACUGCCGGGGUCAACUCGGAGGAAGGUGGGGACGACGUCAAAUCAUCAUGCCCCUUAUGUCUUGGGCUCCACGCAUGCUACAAUGGCCGGUACAAAGGGUUGCGAUACUGUGAGGUGAGCUAAUCCCAAAAGCCGGUCUCAGUUCGGAUU
rnacentral:rRNA from 1 species